AGUGAAUGUUGCUAAAUUUAAAAAUAACAAUUUAAGUUGUGCCCGCUUCCAAAGUAAAUUAAAAUAAAAGCAAAAGUGAUGCGCUCGCCGCCGUGAGGGAAAUGGAGAUGGAAAAUAAGAAAAAUAUCAAGGCAUAAAUAAAACGCCUCGUGACGUGUCGCAUUUGCCGGCUGCAUUCCCAAAUAGAUCGGAGAUCUUAGAUGGUAGAUCGGAGGUAGCUAUAUAGAUCCGUGGUAUAUACUCGGUUUGUCGGUGCGUGCCGGUGGAUUAUGUAAAGUGGCACACGGCAAAAAACACACACAAAAUAACACAGAAAAUAAAGGGACUCAAUAAUGCCCAGAAAGAAAAUUCAGAUGGCAAUAAAAUGCGAUAAAAUAGAUAUAGAAUAAGGAGGAGAGUGUAGCCAGAAGAUUUGUCGCACACGCGCCCCGACUCAGUAAGUGCAACUAAUUUAUUUUGCAUCUAUUGCAAUUGAGAGGCGACCGCCCAAUGUGCAUCCGCCAGAUACAUUUUCGUAAUUGCCGUCAGUGGUUCGAGUUGCUUUGUUUCGCACGUCGCGUCGGAUAUUCGCCAGAUUGGAUUACAAGAUCAGCCGCCAGCCGAAGAAGACCAAAAUAAAAUUCCCACAAAUUAUUUCAAUAAAUACGGCGAAGAAUAAUCUUCCGGAGAAUCGGUUGCCAAAAGCAACGUAAUGUCGUCCUACCGCAGUUAUACGCCCUGGAAGUCCAGCUUGGGCAGCUCCUACAAGACAGGCAGUUCCUCAUAUGGAAGCAGUGGGGACUCCACUUCAAGAUACACCUCCCUGGCCACGCCCAGCGCCUAUAGACCCUCGUUUUCGGGGGGAACAUAUCGCCUGAAGAGAGAACCACCUCCUCCAGCAACAACCACUCCAGUUACCAGCUAUGUCAGUCGCUAUGCCAAAACAGAACCCAAGGAAACUGCCACCAAUGACCGCACUAGUCCCGUAAAACGCUACACUGGAGGUACGACGAGUUCAUUGGGAAAGUAUGGAAGAUCCCGGGACCCAAGUCCGGUGGCCCUAGAGCACACAAACCGUAAUAAGUCCAGGGAUCCUAGUCCUGUAAUCGACAGCGCCCGAAGUAAACUAGCCACCAGCUAUCGUGGAGGGGCCAACACCACUUCCAGUUCAUCUUCGUCUGCCUCCAGAACCGGCUACAGUAGCCGUUAUGGAGCAGGGGCCGGAUCCAGGAUAACUGGCAAUGGGAGUGCUCUGUCCUACCUGACCACCAGUGACUUUCACGCCAGGACUGCCAGCAGAGCAAAGGCCAGCAGAGAAAAAGAGAAAGAGAAGGAAAAAGAAAAAGAAAAGGACCAGGAGGUCGAGGAUAAACAAAGUGACACAUCCAAUGGAAAGGAAAAGACCCCCGAAAAGAAGGCAGCAGCAGAAAGCACCAAGGAUUCGGAAGGAGAUGAAACCUUCAUCACUAUUUCGGUGGUGACUCGAGCCACUUCACCCACUCUGCCGUUCAGCACCACCGUACAGCGAACCCGUCGCAUCGAUCCGGCGAAGACCAUCGAAAAGACCGUGACACGUUCUACGAAAAAAAGACAAACCACUGAUCAAGAAAUUCAGUCGGAUAGGUUGGAUGAUUCCACGCGAUAUCUACGUUACAGUGGUGGCACCACCUACAGUCCUCACAGGGACAGGAUAACCAGUCUCCGUUACAGCGCCAGUCCGCUGAAUAGUUCCGCUUCUGGAAAGUCCAGCCCGGAGGUCAGAUCGAAUCAUCUGACACCAGAAGCUGUGACACCGCCCAGGACCAAUGGUUCAGUGAGCUCGGCCAAGUCCUCGGAAUCCCAUUCCCCAGCAAGGGCUAAUGGCUCCUUGACGCCUGGAAAAUUCUCAGAAGCCCUUUCGCCGGCACGAACCAAUGGCUCCUUGACGCCCGGAAAAUCCUCAGAAGCCCUCUCUCUUCCACCUUCUCGGACAAAUGGUUCCAUUUCUCCUGGGAAAUCCUCGGAAGCUUUGUCCCCUCCCAGAAGCAACGGCAGCUCUAUGGCCUCGUCAAAGUCCUCGAAAUCGAAGCUGUCGCCUCCGAAAGCCAUACGCUUAAACUCCCGCCAGUCGUCGGUGGAGAAUCUGGCCAACAAGCCUCCGGCCGCGCCCAGCAAAGCGGACUCGCCAACCAAAACCUGCAGCUCCAGCUCUGGCAGUUCUGCCGUAAAGUGGCCCAACAAGGACUUCCGAAAGUCGUCUUUGAAUGUGGGCAAUACGGAUAGGCCCAGAAAGUCCAGAACGCCUAGCAGUGGCGGCGAAUCCGAGGAUCUCCCCAAUGGUAGUAGCAACCUGGAGCGCUCGCCCAGUGCCGGUUCCGAGGGUAGCCUGGCAUCCGGAGCAUCCUCGAAAAAGUCCAACAAGCUCAGCAAUGGAAAGCAAACGCCCUGCAAGCCAAAGCCCCAGAAAUCUUGCAGCGACAACACCGGCAGUUCAUCGACCGCCUCGGACAGCGAUCAAAGGGUCAAGACGGUGAAAAAGCAGGCCAAGAAGAAGACCACCAAGGAGGCUGGCUGCAGCAAGGCCACCACCCACAAGGCGAUUAGCCCGCCCAGCACCACUGAGUCAGCCACCGAGGUGGGCGUUGAGGUGGCCGUGCCAACGGCGGCGCAGACGAGACUGAAGAAGCUCUCGGCGGUAUCGAAUUUUUUCGCCAGCCGUCAGCAAGACGCAAAUAACGAGCCGAUCUUCCUAGAAAGCUCCGAGAGCUCGGGCGAACCAGAGGUCACCACAGCUGGCGGAAUCUCAGGGUUCUCGGGCAUCUCGAAGAUCUCGGCCAACAGUCUCAGUGCAGAUUUGCGAACGAACGAACCGACGACGCCCUCGAGCGAAGCGAAAAUAAAUAAUUCCCCCUCACCCAAAUCGAAUUCCCUGAGUUCGACCACGCGCUGUCCCAGAGAAACCACCACGGCCGGCACCACCCUGCCCACAACGAGUAUAGUGAGCACGAUCAGCCAGGACACGAGCCUUACAGCCACAGCCAGUCUAAGCACUUCCGAACAGGACGAGCCCAGUUGGUGGCAGGACACAAGUCUCCAGAUCAAUACGGCCUCUGCUUUGGAUCAAAAUCGCGGGGAUAUGCCUUCCUUCCGACUUAGACACAUAGACUCUGGCGAGGAGCAGGCCUGGUGGCUGCGACAAGAUGAGAAUGGCCAAGACGACGAUGACACGCUGGCGGAGGAUACCACAAACCCCUUGGACGAGGACAACCAAGAGGUGAGCAAGGGAACCUGGUGGAGCCAGGACGAUGAGCCGGUGGAUUCCGGCAGCAGCCAGGUGAAGAUGAUGCCCAGGAGUCGCCUGUCGCCGGAGAAGGAUGCCUGGUGGCUAGAUGAAGAGCAGGAGGUAGUCAAAUCCAAGUCCAAUGGCGACUUGAAUAACAAUAGUGAGCCCCACGUGGAGGUGACCCUCAAGUUGCCGUCGAACGGAAGUCAGCGGGCAUCCAAGAGCAGUGGUUCCUCCAAGAGUAACAGCUCCAAUCCCUGGUGGAUGUCCGGACCCGCCAAGAAGCUGUUCAACGUGCAACGCGUGCAGUCCGGUGAGAGAGCCUGGUGGCAGGAGUCGCCCGAAGAGGCAGCUCCCCAGGAGGAAAAGGAGAACGAGCCACCCCCAGUGAAGCCCCCAACACCACCUCCCCGGAUCAUCAAGCACUGGGAGUCAGGGGAGAGAGCAUGGUGGCUGCAGGAGGACGACCAGCAGGAACCACAGCCCGAGGUGGCGGUGUAUCUGCAACCUUCCAGGGACGAGGUGGAUCUGAGGCAAGUGCAUCCUGCCGUCGAACUGAGCAGCUCCUUCAAUUUUUCGGAGCGACCACCGCCUCUGGGCCAGUGCGCCAGUCCUGUGCGCUGCCCCUCGCCCUAUGACAACAUUCCGGGCACCAAGAUGGCACCGGAGCUAGCUUCACCCCCAUCGCCGCCCAGUGCCACGCUCAUGCCUCCCCUGCAGCCCCGGUACUUCCCCCAAACUAGAAGAGCCGGCGAAAAACUCUUCAUUUCGCGGCAUCAGAACAUCGACGAGCUUCUGGGCGGAGCCUGUCGGCCCCUCAGUCCGCUCUUCUACGGGAACUCCUGUCAGGCAGAGAGUGAGCUGAGUUCUCUGGCGAGCAAAAACAUGUUCCUGCUGGAGGAGGUGACACCUGACCAGGUGCGAAUCCACGACAGCACCGCCCAGCUGCCAGUUAUCCAAAGAAUGCAACGCGAUGUCGAGUGGUUGGAGAAUGGCAGCAAUAGCAGCUUUUACGAGCAGCCGAAACAACAACAGCACCAGCGGAGGAUCGAUGAUGCGGCCAUUCAGGUCUACAAGGAUGGCGACUACGGGGCCUAUUUGGAUCUGGAGUCGUCGCUGGCGGAGCAGACCGAGGAGAUCGAGGGCCUCAACGCCAGCCGCAAGAACUCCCUGGUGGUGCGAACGCAGCUCAAUGUCCGCGUGCAGGCGAUUAUUGAGAAACUCCUAUCGUCGGAGGGCAGCGACCUUCGGCGGGCCCUCUUCUCGCUGAAGCAGGUGUUCCAGGAGGAUAAGGAUCUGGUGCACGCCUUCGUGGCCCUCGGCGGACUCAAUUGCCUGGUGCGCGUGGGCAAUUGUGCGGAUCAAAACUAUCAGAACUACAUUCUGCGCGCCCUCGGCCAGGUCAUGCUCUAUGUGGACGGGAUGAACGGCGUGAUGAAGCAUGAGCCGACGAUGCAGUGGCUCUACUCGCUGAUUGCCUCCAAUUACCGGUCCGUGGUGAAGACCGCCCUCAAGCUGUUGCUGGUCUUUGUGGAGUACGCCGAGUCCAACUGCUAUGUGCUGGUCAGGGCCAUCCACUCGGUGGAUGCCACCCAGGGCACCCUGCCCUGGUCGAACAUAAUGAGACUGUUGAAGGACUAUGAUAAUGCCGAUGCCGAGCUGGUGAUCUAUGCCACGUCCUUGAUCAACAAGGCUCUGGCGGGCUUGAACGACCAGGAUAGCUUCUAUGAUGAGAGUGAUCUGCUGGAGCAGCAGGGCAUGGAGACUGUGAUCCAGCGCUACAUGUCCAAGCCAGGCACCGAUUUGGAUCUACUGGACCAGCUGCAGCUCUACGAGGCGGUUUUAAAAUUCGAGGAUGGGGAAUCGGAUGGUCAGCGCCUGCCACAGAACUCGAUGCGCAAGACCCAACGCUAUCGUCCUGGCAGCAACACCACGGAGCGACGCAAGUCACGUCGCCACAGCACGGACAACAGCCCGGCCCCACUCACCAAGGUCCUGCCCACCACAGUGCUGAGGAUGACUCCCACCCAGGGCAUACUGGAUGAGGACAGCUCUGGCUCCACGAACUCCACGGAGUUCAGUGGCGGCUUGUUCAGUGAAAAGAAACCUCGCGAUGGGGCAGGCGUGACCCCAGGACUCCGCCGACGCCGGGAGAGAGCUGAGCGGCACAAGAGCUUCCUGAAGGAGCAACAGGAGGCGGCGGCCAAUGGCAUCUUUGCCGCCUUAGAGCAGCGUGAGGGUUUGGGCCAAAUCGUAACCGCCAUACCCGCUACCAUCCAGGCCGGCGACAGCCCGCCGCCAUCGCUGCCACACGAGCCUGUGCCGCCUUACAACAACAUGAGCAACAUUAACAACAACCUGAGCAACAUCAGCAGCAACGAAACGCCCAACAACAGCCUGCUCCUGAUGAGUCCUAGCAAGCAGCUGCUGAGCGGUAGCCACAGCAUCUCCAUUAUUAACAACAGCUUCGACAAGUCCAGCAACAACAACCUGAACAACCAGAGCGAGUUCCUCACCAAGAAAAAUCUGUUCCGGGAGCGCAACGCCACGGUGAUCAGCGGCAUCAUGAAGAACAUCCAGCAGACGGACAGUGCCUACAAGAAGUACGAGAACGAGGCCAACCGCAAGAACAACUUCUACACCCAAAUGAGUCAGUCGCCAAAGCACCAGCCACAGCAACAGAUCCACCCCGAUCCGGAUGUCCUGCUGAGUCCAAAGAAGAUCCUUGAGUCCGGAUUUGACUUUACGCCCGUGCCUCUGUGCUCCACACCAGUGAAGUGUGAUGUGCCCCCAGAGCCGGAGCCAAUCAGUCCGGUGCGAAAGCCCACUGGAGCUGCCCCGCCACCACCGCCCCCUCCGCCUCCGCCGCCACCACCGCCACCCGGCUGGUGGCAUGCCCCCAUUAGCAGCCGACCGCCACCAGCAAACCUAACCACUACUAACCCAGAGCUGCUGCCGCUACCCGUGGAUCCCGCAGAUGUAGAGAGCGAGGACAAGCAGCUGCUGAUGCAACUGAAAAGGGACCACACUGUCAAGGACCUCACCCAAAGGCUGACCAACCUGCCCAUGAGUCCCACCCAGGAGCAUCCCGCCAAUCGCGCCAUUGUGGGGGAUAUGUCCGGACUCAUUUCGAAAGCCAAAGAGGGUCUGGCCAAGAGCAAGAGCAAGGGAGAGAUUUCCAGAUCGUCUAGCGUCGAUCAGGAGCUGAAGAAAUCAGAGCCGAAAAAGUCAGAGAAUGAGCUUCACUGGGAGGAGCUGGUGAGGAAUAUGACUCGGCCCCUGAAUCUCUGCGAUCUGGACUUUACGGACCUGCAGGACGAUGAUGAGAAGGACGUGCUGGCUCCUCGGGGUCUGGGUGCUGGUAUACCCCCACCGCCACCACCACUGGGCGGUGUCAUAGCCCCACCGCCCAUGAUGCCACCCAGUCUGGCACCACCGCCCAUGUUCAGUUACGGCGGCAGUCUCACAAACAGCGUGAAUAGCUCCUUGAACGGAUCUGUGAACGGAGAGCUAAUGAAUGGAAAUAAUACCAUCAAGAAGAACAAAAAGACGGUCAAGCUAUUUUGGAAGGAAGUCCGCGAAGACAUGAUCCCCCAGGUGGUGGGCAAAACCAUUUGGGAUGAGCUGCCGGACGCCAAUGUGGAUACUCAGAAGCUCGAACAUCUCUUUGAGUCCCGGGCAAAAGACUUGAUGACCAAGAAACAACAAGAGCUGAACAAGAGCAAAGAGAUCAUCGUGCUCGACCACAAGCGCUCCAAUGCCAUCAACAUCGCCAUCACCAAGCUGCCGCCGCCCAGGGCCAUCAAGGCGGCCAUUCUGAAGAUGGAUGCCACCGUGGUGACCAGGGAGGGCAUCGACAAGCUCCUCAACAUGCUGCCCACGGACGAGGAGCGGGGCAAGAUCCAGGAGGCGCAGCUUUCGAAUCCGGAACUGCCUCUGGGAAGCGCCGAGCAGUUCCUCUUGACUUUGGCCUCCAUUUCAGAGCUGGGAGCUCGCCUCAAGCUCUGGGCCUUCCGCCUGGACUUUGACAACAGUGAGAGAGAGAUUGCCGAACCCCUGAUGGACCUCAAGCAAGGCAUUGAGAUCCUGCGUCAGAAUCGCACCUUCCGCUGCAUCCUUUCCACCCUGCUCUCCGUGGGCAUUUUCCUCAAUGGAGCUCCAGUCAAGGGCUUCCAAAUCGAGUAUCUGGCCAAGGUGCCGGAGGUCAAGGACACCGUCCACAAGCACUCGCUGCUGCACCAUCUCUGCCACAUGGUCAUGGAGUCGAGCAGCGACACCAGUGAUCUCUACUCCGAAAUCGGACCCAUUACCAGGGCCUCCAAGGCGGACUUUACGGACCUGGCCCACAAUCUCAACCAACUCGAGGCGGAAUGCAAGGCCUCCUGGGAUCGGCUGAAGCUGAUUGCCAAACACGACUGCCCGCCGCCAUUGAAGCAGAAGCUUGUGGACUUCUUGGCCGAUUGUGCGGAGCGCAUAAUCAUCCUGCAGAUUGUCCACCGGCGUGUUAUGAACCGCUAUAGGAAGUUCCUACUGUGGCUGGGCAUGCCGCAACACAGUGUGGCAGAGUCCCGUCCCAACGAGUUCUGCCGCACUCUCUCCGAGUUCGCCUUGGAGUACAGAACUACCAGGGAAAGAGUGCAGCAGCAGCUGGAGAAGAAGGCCAAUCAUCGUGAGAGAAACAAGACGCGGGGAAAGCUGAUCAUAGACAUGGCCAAGUUCAAGACCAAAGAGGAUGUGGCUGAUGCGGAGUUGAAACAACUUCUGGGCACUCCUAGUGCCGAUCAGGCCGAUGGCACUCUCACCUGGCGGCGGCGUCGUGCCGAGCAGCUCCGUUCCCCCAUUUCCCGCCAAAGCGAAGAGUUCACCGACGGCGACGACGAGAUACUGGAAUCUCUGGUGAAGACUGCCACCAAGGCGCCGGGAACAAGGACCACGCCCAGAGAGCGUAAAAGGACACGACACGCAGACCGCAAAUCAUUGAAGCGCAGCCGUACGCGCGAAGGAUUCACAGUCGAAAGAGCACCAUCGCCGUAGAAAGUGUUACCGAUAACACCGAACCGUUAACGUUAUCCUUUACCGUUACCAAAAGAACAGCCAACUGUUUUUUAGGUUUUACCUUUUUGUGCGUCGCACGCUGAAGAACGGUCUGACCGACGAGGAGAAACAGCAUGUGGCUGCCUUGAUACAAACCUAUUAGGCUAAGGACUAGCAGAUAC
rnacentral:misc_RNA from 1 species